UAAGCCUGUGAAGGUGAGUUGAGAAGCUUGCUGGAGGUAUCAGAAGUGCGAAUGCUGACAUGAGUAACGACAAUGCGAGUGAAAAACUCGCACGCCGAAAGACCAAGGUUUCCUGCGCAACGUUAAUCGACGCAGGGUUAGUCGGUCCCUAAGGCGAGGCUGAAAAGCGUAGUCGAUGGAAAACAGGUUAAUAUUCCUGUACUUCCAGUUAUUGCGAUGGAGGGACGGAGAAGGUUAGGCCAGCCUGGCGUUGGUUGUCCAGGUUUAAGGUGGUAGGCUGAAAUCUUAGGCAAAUCCGGGAUUUCAAGGCCGAGAGCUGAUGACGAGUUGCCUUUAGGCGACGAAGUGGUUGAUACCAUGCUUCCAAGAAAAGCUCCUAAGCUUCAGAUAACUGGGAACCGUACCCCAAACCGACACAGGUGGUUAGGUAGAGAAUACCAAGGCGCUUGAGAGAACUCGGGUGAAGGAACUAGGCAAAAUGGCACCGUAACUUCGGGAGAAGGUGCGCCGGCGAGGGUGAAGGACUUGCUCCGUAAGCCCAUGCCGGUCGAAGAUACCAGGCCGCUGCGACUGUUUAUUAAAAACACAGCACUCUGCAAACACGAAAGUGGACGUAUAGGGUGUGACGCCUGCCCGGUGCCGGAAGGUUAAUUGAUGGGGUUAGCGCAAGCGAAGCUCUUGAUCGAAGCCCCGGUAAACGGCGGCCGUAACUAUAACGGUCCUAAGGUAGCGAAAUUCCUUGUCGGGUAAGUUCCGACCUGCACGAAUGGCGUAACGAUGGCGGCGCUGUCUCCACCCGAGACUCAGUGAAAUUGAAAUCGCUGUGAAGAUGCAGUGUAUCCGCGGCUAGACGGAAAGACCCCGUGAACCUUUACUAUAGCUUUGCACUGGACUUUGAAUUUGCUUGUGUAGGAUAGGUGGGAGGCUUUGAAGUGGGGACGCCAGUUCUCAUGGAGCCAUCCUUGAAAUACCACCCUGGCAACUUUGAGGUUCUAACUCAGGUCCGUUAUCCGGAUCGAGGACAGUGUAUGGUGGGUAGUUUGACUGGGGCGGUCUCCUCCCAAAGAGUAACGGAGGAGUACGAAGGUGCGCUCAGACCGGUCGGAAAUCGGUCGUAGAGUAUAAAGGCAAAAGCGCGCUUGACUGCGAGACAAACACGUCGAGCAGGUACGAAAGUAGGUCUUAGUGAUCCGGUGGUUCUGUAUGGAAGGGCCAUCGCUCAACGGAUAAAAGGUACUCCGGGGAUAACAGGCUGAUACCGCCCAAGAGUUCAUAUCGACGGCGGUGUUUGGCACCUCGAUGUCGGCUCAUCACAUCCUGGGGCUGAAGCC
rnacentral:rRNA from 1 species